UACGUAGGAGGCAAGCGUUGUCCGGAUUUACUGGGCGUAAAGCGCACGCAGGCGGUUCAGUCAGUCUGUAGGGACAGGGCACAGCUCAACUGUGUCAGGCUUACGGAAACUGCUGAACUUGAGGGCUUCAGAGGGAUGGGGAAUUCCGGGUGGAGUGGUGAAAUGCGUAGAGAUCCGGAAGAACACCAAAGGCGAAGGCAGUGUCCUGGGGAGUACCUGACGCUCAGGUGCGAAAGCCAGGGGAGCGAACGGG
rnacentral:rRNA from 1 species